rnacentral:rRNA from 1 species
GGAUUAGAUACCCUGGUAGUCCACGCCGUAAACGAUGUCGACUUGGAGGCUGUUCCCCUGAGGAGUGGCUUCCGGAGCUAACGCGUUAAGUCGACCGCCUGGGGAGUACGGCCGCAAGGUUAAAACUCAAAUGAAUUGACGGGGGCCCGCACAAGCGGUGGAGCAUGUGGUUUAAUUCGAUGCAACGCGAAGAACCUUACCUACUCUUGACAUCCAGAGAACUUUCCAGAGAUGGAUUGGUGCCUUCGGGAACUCUGAGACAGGUGCUGCAUGGCUGUCGUCAGCUCGUGUUGUGAAAUGUUGGGUUAAGUCCCGCAACGAGCGCAACCCUUAUCCUUUGUUGCCAGCGAUUCGGUCGGGAACUCAAAGGAGACUGCCGGUGAUAAACCGGAGGAAGGUGGGGAUGACGUCAAGUCAUCAUGGCCCUUACGAGUAGGGCUACACACGUGCUACAAUGGCGCAUACAAAGAGAAGCGACCUCGCGAGAGCAAGCGGACCUCAUAAAGUGCGUCGUAGUCCGGAUCGGAGUCUGCAACUCGACUCCGUGAAGUCGGAAUCGCUAGUAAUCGUGGAUCAGAAUGCCACGGUGAAUACGUUCCCGGGCCUUGUACACACCGCCCGUCACACCAUGGGAGUGGGUUGCAAAAGAAGUAGGUAGCUUAACCUUCGGGAGGGCGCUUACCACUUUGUGAUUCAUGACUGGGGUGAAGUCGUAACAAGGUAGC